UUUUUUACAGAACAUAUAACACAUGAUAUGCUUCUAAAUGGUGUAAUUAUAUAGUUUGUCCAGCAGAAUGUGCGCUAUUGUUUGCUACUGGCGACCCAGGUCAGUGUAGAG